UGGUCUGAACCCACAGGAAAAGCUCAGAAGCUAUGAAGACAAAACUACGGUGCACAUGCAUCCUUCCUCAAACCCCCGUCCAUCCCCCAAGGACACUGCCGUCCCAACCCCUCUGUCAUCCCCAGGAGAACAAAUUUUGGCUAAGGAUGUCAAGGGCGAUUGGAAAAAACCACCAAUGAAGUCACAGGUGUUGAAAUGAGAUGUCACUAAUCCGUGACUGAAGCUACUGCUGCAGUAUCGACUUACCUAUGUGCUCUUUGUUCUGAUGCUCCGGACAAGCACCUUUACACGCCCCUCCCUUUUGGAUCACUAAUAGCAACUCAGAAAGCAUGCAUUUCAGCUGAAGGAAGAAGGAUUGCACAACACACAGUAUAAAAAGCAGAUCUGCGGUGCUUCCUGGACUCAGCACACCACUGCAUUGGUAAUGAGCAUGUUCAAGGGGUUGAUACUUACUGCAACGAUGCCCCCUCCUGGUGCUGCCUUAGCCGAUCGGAUCAGUGCUCUUCUAGGUCUCUGAAGCUUCCCCACAAGGAGGCAGGGGCUCCACAUCACUGUGAAGGAGGAGGGUGAGCCAGCUGGUGACCUUCCCAGUCUUAACCUGUGAAAAGUAAAUGACCGGCGGAUUAUCUCGGUCAAAGUACAGACCCUGGAUUUUUUGCAGCCUGGCUGUCUGUCCAUCCCACUGCAAUUGGCUUUUCUUUCGGCAGCCUUUAUCUGCCACUUUUUUCUGAAACUGCCCUCUCCCCCUGACCCAUCCUCUGUUCAGUCCUGAUUGUGGAAAGGACAUGGCAUGUUGAGUAAAAGAGUAGCCAGGAAUUUGGAAUUAGUCCAGUCCUGCAUCUCCAUGAGGUCCUUUCCUUCCUCUUGCUUCCCCAAGUGCUACAUUCAGAAGCAAAGUCUCCAGGAGAAAGAGGACCCCUUCCCGUCUGGACCUGCAGCACCUGCCCUGAUCCUUUUCCAGCUCACCUCAAGCUGGGUGUUGGUCCCAGAAUGUGGCAGUAGAUGAUGAUUUUCAGAGAGCUGAGGCCUGCAGAUAAGUGUGAAUAGUGGGACACUCUGCCUGAUUUACAUGGCUACUGCUUCAUGGAUGCUGGCAGAAGACAUGAGUCUCUUGGGUCAGAGACAAAGGACGUCACUACUGAUAACAGAAAACAGCAUCAGCACAUUGCAUGGAUUCCCCGCCCCUACAUAACACAGGGAUGGUGUGGGGGUUCCAGGUGACUCCUGCACAUGUGGGGGGCUGCAUCACGGGACAGGAGACAGGGCUGAGAGCCCAGCAGGUGAGCAAGAAGCAACAAGCCUAUCUCCUGCACUCUGACCUACUUCCUCACCUGAGUGGCUGGAGAAGCCGCCGAGCACCAGCACACGGGUCAGUUGCACAAUCUGCACACUCAGCAAAGGCCUGCAGGGACAUCAGGGCCUGGCACCGACCGUCUCCCCACUGCAGGGCCCACAUACCCUGAACAAUUCCAAACUUCAGAAUUCCCCAAGUCCCAGGGUCCCUGACAUUGAGGCCACGGGGCCCGUGCUGCUGUUGAAGACUGCAGGAGACACCAUGUGGCUGCAGGAGGGACAGGGACUGUGGGGUGCACACCUGUUUCCUGCAUAUCCACAAAGCCACUUACAGAGCUGUUUCAGUUCCUCUUGCCCGGCUAUGCAGCUCUCAGUUCCUGCUGGACUGCAGUACUGAGAAAGGAACACUACCAGCUCUCCAGUCCGUUGGAGACCAGGAGGACUCCAACACCAGCAAGAAAAACACAUGGAAUAUGGUAAGCAACUCAGACUUAGUCUGUCCAAAAUGCACUCCUGGUCUUCUUCCCACGGCUUCUCCCACAGCUGCCCUCCGUGGCAGCGCAGGGCCAGCCUUCCAGGUGCUCAGGAAGGCCAUCUAGGGUCCUGCUGACUCUCCUUUCUCCCCCACUUCAGUCUCCCAACCUUCCAGCCACCUCCAGAAGCCACAUCAUUUCCCACCGCAUCGUGACAACAGCCUCUGCCGGUCUGCUUUCCGGUCUGCUUUCUCCCGCGGCUCCUUGAUCCAGCUGCCAGGGUGCUUCUUCCCGGAGGAAAGCAAGGCCGUGACUACCACUUCUUUGCCACCUCCCCGACCCUGACUUUCAACUCAGGAAAAAGUCCCACUUCUCGUGCUCCGUGGAGGGAGAGCUUCUUGUGGCUGUGCUCGUUGCUGCAUCCAGAUGCCUCACACUGGGCAUCUGCUGUGGCUUGGAUGUGAUCUGCCC